rnacentral:tRNA from 1 species
GGUCAUGUAGCUCAGUGGUAGAGCACUUGCUUAGCAGGCACAAGGCCAUGGGUUCAAGUACCAGCAGUACCA